AAUGAAGCAAAUAAAUGAAGAGGAGGACAAAAAAAAUACCCACAAUGGAGGAUCUGAGUGGGGCAAGACAUGACAAUGCGGUUGUGCUUCUUUCCGAAGGUUGUUGCGGUUAAGGAAGGCGGAGUCGCGACAGUUUAUAAGAGAAUGAAGGCGGAGUCGCAGUGGUUCACGAGAGAGGGGGGUGGAGCGUCAGAUUCUAUCGACAAUGAUGGUGGUCACAUUUUG
rnacentral:lncRNA from 1 species